GGUUGUGGCUCAGUGGUAGAGCGCUUGCCUAGCAUGCAUGAGGCACUGAGUUUGAACCUCAGCACCA
rnacentral:tRNA from 1 species